CUCCGACCGCACCCUGCGCCUCCACGCGCGAUCUCGCGCUCGAGCCUCCCCGCCGCCCCGCGCCGGCCGCCGCCCAUCGCAUCGUCCCUCCCCGAACCUCACCGCCGGCAGCCUUUGCCCCUCUCCUCCGCUUCCCUCCCAGAUCAAAUGGAUCCCCCACCAAUCCAUCUCUCUCUCCCGCGACCCCUCUCUCUCUCCCUGGACACAUCUCCGCCGCCACAGAUGCCGGCCGAUCCCGGCAUUCUCCGGCGACUUUCGACACCACGCAGCACCGGCCCGGGCUCGCCUCGCUCCGCUGGGUCUUUUCCGCCAGCGGGAUUCGCCGCUCCCGGCCACCAGCGAUGACGUUAAGCCCUCACCAUGUCUAGGGUUUCGGGCGCCUCCACACUGGCGUGGCUCCGGCGCCUCCGGCGGAUCCUCUCCGACGCCCAUCGCGCCCCCACAGGCAUCUCCGUGUCCAGGAUGCUGCUCCUGUGCCCGCUGGCCAUGGGAUGUGCAGAGCAAGGAUUGGAUGCUUGAGGAAGGAGGGGUCGACCUUGCCUUGCUGCAGCUUGGGAUGCACCACCCAUGGAGCUUCCUCCUUUCUAUCUUCAGCUGAGUUCGCCCCCUCCUCGGCUCUUGUUCGUGGCCAUCAGAAAAUGUGUUGUAUACUGACGUAUUUCAAACUGAAAACAAUGAGUGCCAAUACAAGAUGUAUAGUAACCCCUUGUGAACUCGAUUCGUAUUGGGUAGUGAAUCGUCGUGAACCAAGGAAUUGCAGGUACAACAAUGCUUGGCAUUCAGGACGCAACGAAGCAGGAAAAAUCAAAGGUGGAUCUUGCCCAGCUGAUAAACAAGAAGGACACCGACCUAAGGGUGAUUACAGUGGGCGGAAAAGGUGCUGAUCUUGGGCAUACAUCGAUCAUCCGGGCAGUUUACAAGGAUCCAGAGAUCAAAAACAAUUUUCCGUGCCGAGCAUGGGUGAGGUUGAUGCAUCCUUUCAGUCCAGAAGACUUCAUUCAAAGUUUAGUAGAGCAGCUUCACGCAUCCGAAGGAGUUGACAUUCUGCUGGAAACAAAAAAGAUGGGGAAAGAGUUAGCUGAGGAAUUCAAUGGAUAUUUCAAUGCUAAGAAGUUCCUGAUUGUGCUUAAUGACUUAUCAACCAUUGAAGAGUGGAAUCGGGUUAAGAGGUGCUUCCCAAACAAUAAGAAAGGGAGCCUGAUAAUAGUGUCUACAAGGCAAGUUGAAGUUGCAAGCUUAUGUGCAGGACAAGAAAGCAUAGUAUUUGAGCUCAAGCAGUCGUCUGUUGAUCAGAAUAUUAAUGCUUUCUAUGAGAAGGUAACAUUCAAAGUUCUACUGCUUGUCCUCUUCUGAAUUAUACAGCAAGACUCGGUUAUAGUGUGGCCUUCGAAUCAGAACUACAAUAUUGACUUUGUAGCUGCAUGGUGGGAAUCAGUUUUUGUUAUCACUGAUCCUUCCAAACUGAAGCUUAGAGAGAUCAAAAUGUUACAUGCUGAACGGCCAGGAGUGAACUACUCAAGUCGUCCGACAGUGUCCCACGCCGACCUCCGGUGGAUCUCCUCCCGGAUCAGACCUAACCCCCGCACUACUUGGGGCCCUCCCCCAUGCCAUUGCAGCCCUCAGCUACGACGCCCAUUGCCUUCUCGAGAUCAACAACCACCUGCAAGAAAACUGUUCGAUCAAUCGACCCAACAGACAGGAGCCUAGAGAAUGGGGAGAAAGAGGAGGAGAUGUGGUUGUCAGCACGGUGUUGAACCACCGACGCGGCGGAAAAAUGAGCAUGUGUUGUGCAAGAGGAGAUCCACACUGCCAGCAUGUGUCUCUUCAACCAGUAUGAUCACGUCCUCGUGUGCCUUCGCCCGGCUGAUCCGGUGACGGCAAUUGUCAUCUUCUUAAAAUUUAGAUGGACAUUUGGAUGUUCUUGAUUUUUUUUCUUCUAAAAUGAACAUAACUGUCAGCUUCUUUCUUGGGUAAUCAAACUCCGGUGGAAUAAUAGUAUAACUCGUGUUUUUGUUUUAGGUCUUGCGCAUCUGGUGUACCCAAGGCCGUCCACAUGCGUUUUGAACAUUCAUUAGGUGUUUAUCGUCUAGCUGAGGAGGCUAUGAACAAUCUGAAAAAACUAGGUUUGUACCAUGAAGCACAUGCUCUAGAAAUGCUAUACAUGUUCUCCCUUAUGUUCUUUUGGUAAUCCACUUCACAACUGACUAAAUUGCACCACUGCCUGACCUGUGCUAUGUAUGAAUUUGAGGAUUUACUUGAGAAAACUUCUACUGAAGUUAAUGAUUCCCUGUCAAAUCCGCGCAUAUGUAACUGCAGCAAGAACUGCUUGUGAUGUGCAAGCUAGGAUCAGCUUGAACGUCUUAUUGAAUGCCUUCAUGGAGACAACGGUGAUACGUUCCAAGAUUGUAUUACCUUGGCCCGACUUAAGUUUGAAGAUUAUUUCUCCAACCAUGUGGACCAGCUGAAUUUUACUCUCCCUGAAGAUUCAGUGACCAGCUCUGGUGCUCCCUUUGAUCUGGUCUGCAGCAAGUACACUGCCUGAUCUUAGUUGUUGCCAGCAUCGUGGUUUGGAAAAAAGUGGUGUACGAAUGGCUUCUGAGGAUAGUUUGCACCAAGUACUUAAGGUCAGCCUACUUAUGCUGUUGUAAGCACAACUGUUCAAUUUUAAAUCAUUAGGAAGUGAGCAUAGCUUCUUUUAGGUUCUAUAAUUAUUAGAUGGCUUAAGUAGUGCCCUGUUGCUCUGUCAGUUCUCUGAAAAACAUUCAAGAAGGGAGCAAUCUUUUACUUAAUUCG